rnacentral:lncRNA from 1 species
UGGGGGCGGUGCCGGGGGAGGCUCCCGUCCCAGUGCCGGCCCCGCCGGUAACUCCGCCUGCCGUAUUUAUGGGAAAACAAGCAGCGGCAGAGCGUUGGGCCGUGUCGAGCCGUGCCGUGCCGUGCCGUGCAUCGCUGUGCCGUGCCGUGCUGGAUCGGGCGGAGCUGGGCCAUGGUCCCCUGGGCGGUGGCAUCCCCAGCCUAGCGCGGCGGCGGCGGCGGCGGCGGCUGGGGGAUGCGGCGAGAGCCGCCAGAGCGGCUGGCGCAGAGCAGCCCUGGGAUGGAGCCACCACAGGCCCCUUGGCCACCUCAGCCCACCCACCCCCUCACUGCUGCUGCUGGACCAGCCCAUCACAUGGACAGACACCACAAGGCCACUGGAGUCACCUCAGCUCUGGCAUCUGCACCCCCCCAGCUUUGGGGCAGGUAAUUAGGAGGAACCCAAGUCCCCUCCCCAUGUCUGCAUAGUCAAUGCUUCUUGCUAAAUAAAAUCAAUUCUUUUUCUCCA